ACCUGUUUGAUUUGGCUAGGAGCCACUGUAAAUUUGGUAUUGAAGGUCUUGUCAGUGAAGCUCGUACUGGGAAAGUGAUAGGAGAUCGCACAGAUGAACAAUUCGAACAUUCCUCCACCCGUGAUGAGAUAGAUGCUCUCCAUGUCUAUACUUGUUGUGGCCGCUGGUGUUGUAGCGUUCGUGAAGGGCACAUCGGUGGUGAAUCCUGAAUUAAAAAUACAUUAACGAUCCUAAGUUGCAAUACUGUAAUUAAUUUGUCAAGUACGCAAUUCGUUGGCCAUACUUGAUUAAUUGUUGUUUCUUCCUGGUAAUUGUAAAUGUCAUACCAGACGUAAGCGUGUUUAAACGGUUGUCUUUGACUAUCGUCUCUUUGUUGUUUCAAAACUUUGAUCCUCGUUUUUGUUUUCAAGAGAUAUGUGUGUUAUGUUUUACGCGCGCUACAAUUUUAAUCAUCAAGAUGCACGCAGUAUUUUAAAAGCCUAAUAAACAACAAUAACGUAA